GUAAUAAUAGUAUAAUUAGUAUACCUGUCUUCCAAACAGGUGGUUCCGCAUGGAUUAUUAUA
rnacentral:tRNA from 1 species